rnacentral:rRNA from 1 species
AAGAACCUUACCAGGUCUUGACAUCCUCUGACAACCCUAGAGAUAGGGCUUCUCCUUCGGGAGCAGAGUGACAGGUGGUGCAUGGUUGUCGUCAGCUCGUGUCGUGAGAUGUUGGGUUAAGUCCCGCAACGAGCGCAACCCUUGAUCUUAGUUGCCAUCAUUUAGUUGGGCACUCUAAGGUGACUGCCGGUGACAAACCGGAGGAAGGUGGGGAUGACGUCAAAUCAUCAUGCCCCUUAUGACCUGGGCUACACACGUGCUACAAUGGACGGUACAAAGAGCUGCAAGACCGCGAGGUGGAGCUAAUCUCAUAAAACCGUUCUCAGUUCGGAUUGUAGGCUGCAACUCGCCUACAUGAAGCUGGAAUCGCUAGUAAUCGCGGAUCAGCAUGCCGCGGUGAAUACGUUCCCGGGCCUUGUACAC